GACGAACGCUGGCGGCGUGCUUAACACAUGCAAGUCGAACGAAGUGGCGAACGGGUGAGUAAUACGUGGGUAACCUUCCCUCCUUUUUGGGAUAAGCCUUUGAAACGGGGUCUAAUACCGACUAAAGGGGGAUGGGCUCGCGGGCUAUCAGCUUGUUGGUGGGGUGCUGGCCUACCAAGGCGGUGACGGGUAGCCGGCCUGAGAGGGUGAACGGCCACAUUGGGACUGAGAUACGGCCCAGAAUCGUACGUGAGGCAGCAGUGGGGAAUAUUGCACAAUGGGCGAAAGCCUGAUGCAGCCAUGCGGCGUGGAUGAAGAAGGCCUUCGUGUUGUAAAGUACCACGGAAACGCAUGCGGUACACACAGAAGAAGCACCGGCUAACUCCGUGCCAGCAGCCGCGGUAAUAC
rnacentral:rRNA from 1 species